UCGGGAUAAGACUAAGCCAUGCAAGUCGUGCGCUUCCAAGCAAUGAUGGAAGCGCGGCAUACGGCUCAAUAACACGUAGUUAACCUACCCUUGGGACGGGAAUAACUCCGGGAAACUGGAGCUAAUGCCCGAUAGGCGGAAGCGCCUGGAAUGGUCUUUCACUGAAAGGCGUCGUGAUCAUGCUUCUCAACGUUGCCCAAGGAUGGGACUGCGGCCGAUCAGGUUGUUGGUAGGGUAACGGCCUACCAAGCCUAUAACCGGUACGGGCCCUGAGAGGGGGAGCCCGGAGAUGGGAACUGAUACAAGGUCCCAGGCCCUACGGGGCGCAGCAGGCGCGAAACCUCCACAAUGCGCGAAAGCGUGAUGGGGUUAUCCCGAGUGCCGCCCGAUGAGGAUGGCUUUUACCCGGUGUAAGGAGCCGGGAGAAUAAGAGGGGGGCAAGACUGGUGUCAGCCGCCGCGGUAAUACUAGCUCCUCGAGUGGUGGGGAUGAUUAUUUGGCCUAAAGCGUUCGUAGCCGGCUUAAUAAGUCCCUCGUGAAAUCCGACGACUUAAUCGUCGGGCGUGCGAAGGAUACUGUUAGGCUAGGGGACGGGAGAAGUCGACGGUAGUCCCGGGGUAGGGGUGAAAUCUUAUAAUCCCGGGAGGACCACCAGUGGCGAAGGCGGUCGACUAGAACGUGCCCGACGGUGAUGGACGAAAGCUGGGGGAGCGAACCGGAUUAGAUACCCGGGUAGUCCCAGCCGUAAACGAUGCGGGCUAGGUGUUGGAACAGCCACGAGCUGCUCCAGUGCCGCAGGGAAGCUCUUAAGCCCGCCGCCUGGGAAGUACGGCCGCAAGGCUGAAACUUAAAGGAAUUGGCGGGGGAGCACCACAAGGGGUGAAGGCUGCGGUUCAAUUGGAGUCAACGCCGGGAA
rnacentral:rRNA from 1 species